rnacentral:rRNA from 1 species
AAGGGUUUGAUCCUGGGCUCAGAUUGAACGCUGGCGGCAUGCUUUACACAUGCAAGUCGAACGGCAGCACGGGGGCAACCCUGGUGGCGAGUGGCGAACGGGUGAGUAAUGCAUCGGAACGUAUCCUUAAGUGGGGGAUAACGCACCGAAAGGUGUGCUAAUACCGCAUAAUCUCUACGGAGAAAAGCAGGGGAUCGCAAGACCUUGCGCUUUUGGAGCGGCCGAUGCCUGAUUAGCUAGUUGGUGAGGUAAAGGCUUACCAAGGCGUCGAUCAGUAGCUGGUCUGAGAGGACGACCAGCCACACUGGGACUGAGACACGGCCCAGACUCCUACNGGAGGCAGCAGUGGGGAAUUUUGGACAAUGGGGGAAACCCUGAUCCAGCCAUGCCGCGUGAGUGAAUAAGGCCUUCNGGUUUGUAAAGCUCUUUCAGCCGGAAC